rnacentral:tRNA from 1 species
GCUCCCAUGGCGUAGUGGUCACUGCGCUCGCCUUGCACGCGGGAGACCCGGGUUUGAUUCCCGGCGUGGUCA